UAAAAUAAAUAUGAUAUGACUAUUUAAAAUUUCAAAAAAUAUAAAACAUAUUCUUUUUUUUAAAUGAUAAAAAGAUAUUAAGAAAUUUAUUGGAGAAAAGAGUGGAGAGACCUCCGUAACAAAAUCAUUCGAGACCAACUCCUUCACCAAUUGGAGACAACACCUGUGGAACGGAUUAACUUAUUAAAAUACGGUUAUUUAUUGAAGAAAAAAGAAAAAACGAACCAAGAGAACCCUUGACAGCACAGCGACGCGGACUAAGGGCCGAGCCUCGUUAAAACCCCUUUACGUAAAACCCAAAAAGGAAAAACCGUAAUGGGGAAAAAGAGUACUCGUCAAACAAAAACAAAAACAACGAACUCCAACUAACCAUCCAGAUGUGGGAAAGCUUCGGGAGCUCCGGCCUAACCAUCGCCCCCAAGCCAUCUCGAGCACGGAUUAACAAUAAUUAAUAAUUGGAAGCAACAACUACUAAUAAUUUUAAAAUAAGAUUAUAAGUCGUACACACGCAUAUGGACUCUCCUCAUGAAUCUUAAAAUUACGGAUGUCAAUCUUAGCGGAAAUUCAAAAGUUACACUUAUUAUUUAUGUUUUUAUUUUUAAAAUUAAAAUUUAAAUAUAAUUAAGAUGUAAAAAAUAGAAAAAUAUGCAUAUUUUUGUCUAUCUAAAAGUUACGAAUUAUGUAAAUGGAUUUUGAAAAUGAUACUUAUACAAUGUGGGUAUUUGUUUGUUACUAUUAGAGAAUUAUUAAGAUAAGUAUACUAUAAUUAAUUUUUUAUACUAUAAUUUUUUGAGCCGAAUUAGCCCGAAAAUCGAAUGAUUAAGAUUAAGAUCGAGAAUUUAUAGUCCAAAAACAUUACAACACAAAUGACCUAUAACCGAUAGGACUAGCUCAAAGCCGAGCGGCUUGGGCUGAUUGACAUCCCUACACAAGAUAGUCCAAAAUUAUAAGUUCAUGGAAAUCCACUUUGAUAUAUAUUAUAAUUUGUAAAACCCUACGCCUUGUAUUGGUGCAUAUAUAUAUACGAUAUAUCUAGAUGAAGUUUAAAAGUAAUACUUUAAUUAGAUUUGAUGACUAUAAGUUAUGGACUCAGAAUUGUAUUAGAAUUAGGAGACUACGUUUGUUAUGAUUAUUUUACUUUAUAUAUAGAUAAAUAGGUUUUGUGAUUGUUUGUAAAUUUGAUCUUCGGCAUUGCUAUUUUACGACAUAUACAUAUUGGAUGAAUGUAAAUAAGGCGAUGGGUGAGGUUGUGAUGGAUAUAGACGAUGAUGGUGAUAGAUCAAGAAACAGAGAAGGCUCAUCAAAUUCAAGGACAGUGUGCAGAAUUUGCCUAGAAUCCUCAGAAAUCUCUCCACUUAUGAAACUAGGGUGUGAUUGCAAAACAGAUAUUGGCUUCUUGCAUCAAUACUGCGCCGCAGCCUGGUUCUCGCUUAAGGGAAACAAUGUAUGUGAGGUUUGUGGAAAGACGGCGCGAAAUAUUAUCAUCGUCAACAGUGGCAACAUAGAAACGACGUCGGCCGCGGGGAGUGAGAGGCGUGGCGCUGCGGCUGCGGCUGCGCAAAAUAAAAUAUUAUUACUAAUUAGUCUGCUUCUCGUCUUAUCUUUAUCGUGUCUAAUGGUGUGGCUUUAUACGAGGCUUUUUGUUGCACACUGUCGACAUAGUAGUAAUCCUCACUGUCAUACGUAGAUCUAUACACUCUUCAAAUACUACUCCUCAUAAUUCAUAAAACAGGAUUUUGUGUCUUUUACAAUUUUAAUUUUAUUUAUUUA